GGUAUCCUACGGGACGCAGCAGUGAGGAAUAUUGGUCAAUGGGCUUACGCCUGAACCGGCCAAGUCGCGUGAGGGAAGACUGCCCUAUGGGUUGUAAACCUCUUUUGUCAGGGAGCAAUUGGCGCUACGUGUAGCGUUAUCGAGAGUACCUGAAGAAAAAGCAUCGGCUAACUCCGUGCCAGCAGACGCGGUAAUACGGAGGAUGCGAGCGUUAUCCGGAUUUAUUGGGUUUAAAGGGUGCGUAGGCGGAAUGCCAAGUCAGCGGUAAAAUCGCGGGGCUCAAACUCGCUCCGCCGUUGAAACUG
rnacentral:rRNA from 1 species